UUUGAUGGCUGUACCUCAUAAAUGCUCUCUUCCUUUUUGUUUUAGUGGUGCUGGGGACCAAACCCAGGGCUUCACGUUUUCAAGGCCAACACUGUACCACUGAGCUAUAUCCCAUCUCAAAUACCUUCUUAAGUUCAAGUGCACGGAUCACACAGUUGUAGGAUGUACUUCAAUCUGCCUGAAAAUCCUGAGUCCACAAAAUGAGGCUGGAGAGAAAACAAGCACACCCUUCCACCUGUGGUCUACUGGAUUUGGGUAAAAAAAUCAUGGGAGGAAGUGUAGACUGCAAUAAAGAAAAUGGUGGAUACCAGAAAAACUCCUAAUUACUUAAAACAAUGAGGGGACCCAGAACAUGAAUGGCAAGUGGGAAGUCGCCCCACACCCCAGAAGGCACAGAAUUGCACAGAGCUCACUUAUUCUGAUUCUACGUGGCAACAGACUACAGCACGAAGUGAGAUGGUUUCUCCACUGCAGAUGUAUACAAGAUACCACUGUAACGGACUAGCCUGUUACUGCUGUAGGUGAACUGACUGCACAGGAAUAAUCCUGACUCUGGACAAUUCAGCAUCAGAAUCCACCCAGGGAGACGGACAGCAAGAGUUCCUAACUGAAGAAUUGAGACUGGAUCAGACUCUGCAAGAAUACCUGCAACCUGGCAGAAAGAGGUCCUGAGCCUUGAAUUAAGUUCACUGUUGCUGUGGAGAGACCAGAGGAGCUAUCGGGGUGUGAGCACUUACACCCUCUGGCAAAGGAGCUAUUUGGAAAUUACAUAUGCAGUGUCUCACUGGAAUAU